AAGCGACCACACGCGCAUACUUCCACCCUCAUUUCGCUCCGGUAUCUGCUUUGGCAGCCUCGACUGCGAUGGAUGCGACUGCAGACCAAGGCUGCCCAGUGAUGCUCUUGUUGGUCCUAAUAAAUUCUGAUAUUUCAUGAAAGGCUCAUCUGCAAGCACGCUGAUAGACUGUCCAUGGAUAAUGGAGAACCCACUCUUUUGAGUAGGUGUGGCUUAUCCACUUCAGGCUCAAGUGGAGUACAGAUGAAAUGUGAGCCCUGGGUGACAUGAAGAUUGCUGUACACUGAAUUCAUGUGGGGUGGAUCGAAUUGGGACAUCGGUGCAAAUGAGUGGUUUAUGGAACUGAUGGACUGGAGGCAUAUGUUCUGUAAAGUUGAUGAAUAAAAGCAUAUAUCAAC